CCUACGGGAGGCAGCAGUGGGGAAUAUUGCACAAUGGGGGAAACCCUGAUGCAGCGACGCCGCGUGAGUGAAGAAGUAUUUCGGUACGUAAAGCUCUAUCAGCAGGGAAGAAAAUGACGGUACCUGACUAAGAAGCCCCGGCUAACUACGUGCAAGCAGCCGCGGUAAUACGUAGGGGGCAAGCGUUAUCCGGAUUUACUGGGUGUAAAGGGAGAGUAGACGGCAGCGCAAGUCUGGAGUGAAAUCCCAUGGCUUAACCAUGGAACUGCUUUGGAAACUGUGCAGCUAGAGUGCAGGAGAGGUAAGCGGAAUUCCUAGUGUAGCGGUGAAAUGCGUAGAUAUUAGGAGGAACACCAGUGGCGAAGGCGGCUUACUGGACUGUAACUGACGUUGAGGCUCGAAAGCGUGGGGAGCAAACAGGAUUAGAUACCCGAGUAGUC
rnacentral:rRNA from 1 species